CGUGCCCACCCCGGAGACCCCCCCAGCUGCUGCCAGGCCGGCCCAGGGGAUGAAGGCGGUGGCGAAGGGAGCCGCCAUCCCCGUGGGGCUGAACUUUGUGAAGAUCCACUGCCAGAACGAAGCUGUCUACCAGUACCACGUGACCUUCAGCCCCGAGGUGGAGUGCAAGGCUGCCCGCUUUGCCAUGCUGAAGGAGCAGCAUUCCGUGACCGGGGACGUGAUGGCCUUCGACGGCUCCAUCCUCUUCCUGCCCAUCCA